rnacentral:lncRNA from 1 species
AUGCCUGAUAACACAAAGCUGGGAAUAAAAUUAGGCUCACAACCUAUAGAUGAUUUCUCCAAUUCUAUUUGUACCUGCCUCUGUGGACCCUCCAGAUGUCUCCCAACGACUUAUGGGUGUUCCCCUAAAUUCCCAGAAGAGCUCACAGUCCGUUGUCUCGGCCACCGUGCCGCCGCCUGGUUUCCUCUCAUUCCCCCAGCUGCCGAGGAUCACAGGCCCUCUGGUGCUGCCUGUGGGUGUGGGUGUAGGAUGCUGAUGAAUGUAUGGUUCAGAGGAUGCAGCCUCUGCCACGCCGAGGCCAGCUGGGGUCACUCAGCUGCACCCUGUGGCCGGAAACGUCCCCGGACGCUGCUGGUGCGCCGGAGCGCCAGCCCUGCCAAGGUUUCACUCCCUACCGGGAUUUCUCAAAUCUGUUCUGGCUUCAUCUCCCAUCGGGGAAAAAAGGUACCCCCUCGGAGGCAGGAGAGGCAGGACCGGGAGGAAGAGGGGACCUCACCGGGCAAGGGGGACCGCACUUGCCGGCUGUUCCCCUUCUCACUCGCUACCCAGGGUAUUUUUAUCAGAAGAAACGGAGAGAUUCGGCUCCACUGA